UACGUAAGGGGCGAGCGUUGUCCGGGUUUAUUGGGCGUAAAGAGCUCGUAGGCGGUUUGGUAAGUCGGGUGUGAAAUCUCCACGCUCAACGUGGAGGGGCCACUCGAUACUGCCAUGACUCGAGUCCGGUAGAGGAGUGUGGAAUUCCCGGUGUAGCGGUGAAAUGCGCAGAUAUCGGGAGGAACACCCGUAGCGAAGGCGGCACUCUGGGCCGGAACUGACGCUGAGGAGCGAAAGCGUGGGGAGCAAACAGG
rnacentral:rRNA from 1 species